GGUGAGGAGGUGAUGAUUCACAAAUGCAUAGUUCAACUGAUUCAGCUUCCAAUGCUGGUGUUGAAACUGUACCAUCAAAGUCUUUCGCUCCUAUCUGAUUCUCACC
rnacentral:snoRNA from 1 species